rnacentral:rRNA from 1 species
UACGGCGGGGGCUAGCGUUGUUCGGAAUUACUGGGCGUAAAGCGCGCGUAGGCGGACUGGCAAGUCGGGGGUGAAAGCCCGAGGCUUAACCUCGGAACUGCCUUAGAAACUGCGGGUCUAGAGUCCGGGAGAGGAAGGCAGAAUUCCUAGUGUAGGGGUGAAAUUCGUAGAUAUUAGGAAGAAUACCAGUGGCGAAGGCGGCCCUCUGGACGGGUACUGACGCUGAGACGCGAAAGCGUGGGGAGCAAACAGG